rnacentral:lncRNA from 1 species
GUGAGGAUUUUAAAGAUUUCAUGCAAUCUACUAAUUGGAUUGAAGUCAAAUUUAUAAUUGAGGAUAGUAGACUUGUUUUCCAAAGUAUAUGAGAAUUUUGAGAUCAAUCGAAUGGUGAAAAGGAGAGAUAUUGGGUCUAAGAGAUUGGCAUCAAGGUCAGAGAAGGAGGCUAGCCAAUACUUACAUGUUUUUGAAGUUAUCGUCUAUUUGGUAAUUUCAAUCUCUUUCAAAUUUUUUAUACUUGUUUUCAACUUAAUUUUUAAGAAGUGUGAAAAUUUUGAGUUAAGAUUAAUGAUUCAUUGAUUGGUUAUUGAGGUUUAAAUUUGUUAUAGGAAUUAUUAAGAUUUGGUUAGGAUUUGAUUUAGGGUUUAGGAUUUAGUUAGGAUUUGGUUUAGAAUUUAAGAUUUGAUUAGGAUUUAAUUUAAGAUUAAGGAUUUGAUUAGGAUUUGAUUUUAGAUUUAAGAUUUGGUUAAGAUUUAAUUUAAGAUUUAGGAUUUACUUAAGAUUUGAUUUAGGAUUUAGAAUUUGAUUAAGAUUUGAUUAGGGUUUGAUUUAGGAUUAAGGAUUUGAUUAGGAUUUAAAUUAGAAUUAGGAUUUGGUUAAGAGUUGAUUUAGAAAUUAAAUUUUUUUAGAUUUUAUUUAGGGUUUGUUUAGGGUUUAAGAUUUAGUUAGUUUUUGGCCUAAAGUUUGAUUGAAGUCUAAUAGGAUUUUAAUUAGGAUUAAAUUAAGAUUGGAUUGAAAUUUAUUUGAGACAUAUUUGUGAUCAUUCUAAUAUUUCUUUAAGAUUUCUUAUUGUUUCUUUAUAAUUCCUUUAAGAUUUUUUUGAAUUGAUUAAAGCUUGCUUAGCAUUAUUAUAGUCUAAUAAGGAUUUUGUUGUUGUAAUUUCU